GAAGAGACGUUAUGGGAUUUGAUUUUGUUCUAUUCCUCUCUUUGGGCUUCUUGUUCUACAGCUUUUAGAGGAGUUCCUCUAGAUGUGUUACAACUCAACUGGAGUGAGGUUUGCGCUUCAAAAGUGUGAGUUUGUGGGGGUUUCUCUUUGUUUUUAGCUAAUGUUGGGUGUUUUUUCUGUUGUUCAGAUUGUGUAGGAAGGACCUCUCAUCCUUCUAGUGGUUUCUUUUGUUUCUUUUUUCUUUUCUUUCUCCUGUAUCUUUCCUUCUAUUAAUAUAUUUCUCUUCAUUUCUAAUCAAAAAAAAAUAAGUCUCACCUUGACAAUUUUGGCACCAGCAUUAUAUGCAGAGAAGAUCUGAGGACACACAAAAUAUUGGUUAGGCCCAUCUAGAGGGAGAAGCAAGGUAAAAAAUGCAAAGCUCAAAUAGAAUGAACACAUGAAAAAGAUCUUCUACAAUUUCCAUUAUAAAAACUAGUUAAGGCCAAAACAAAAACAGCAAAAAAACAAAAAUAAAUUAGGUGGAUUAAAAUAUGUACUAUGGAUGUUUAAUACUUAAGUAUAGAAACAAAGUUACAUAGAUGUCCUUACUUCUGUUGGGGUCAUUGCACCAGGUAUAUAUAAAACUUCACCACCUUGGACAUCAUCCAUAAUCUCCUGGUGAUCAUUAAGCAUGUUUAGAAAAAACAAAAGUUCUAAGUUCCAAGAGCAUGCCUUCACAAUUACAGGACUCAUGAGGAAUUUGGCUCCAGCAUUUAUGGCAGUUUUGGCAUCCUUAGCAUUUAAAACAGUUCCAACCUGCACAAUGGUUAACCACUUCUGAACAAUCUUGGAAGUUGGAAUGCAGUUUUGAUGAGCUGAGUAAAUGACUUGAACACCAGGAGGCACUUGUCUGGUCUAACAAUUCAACCAUUAGCCUGUUAAACUCUGUAGACUGGACAUGCAUCAUGCAUGUUCAGCCUUUUUUUUCUCUCUUUUUUUAUAGGCAACGUACUUUUCUAUUGAUUUACUUAAUGUGAAGAAAGAAGGAGAAGAAACAAAGAACAGUAAAGGAUGCCUUUUUGGUGAGGAAUCUAUUAUGCAGUUGUUAUUAUCUUCAUUAAUUUAACAAUUUUUUAGGCUCAAACAUGGCUAGAAAAAUGAAAACAAUUGCAUAUGAUUCUUGCAAGUAAACAAGAACACAAAAUUCUAUGUUCCCAAAUUUCAAACACAGAAACACCUCCAGCUAGGGUAGAAGAGUCCUGAUGCCUAGAUUCUGGAGAAUCAUAAAGCCAGACUCCCGUUUCCAUGUCCACCAAUAUAACUAGAACAAAUAUAAAAUGGCAUAAAAAAUACCAAAAGAAGUAGUGAAAAUGAUUACCCCUAUGACUUUUCUAGGAUGAUUCUGCACCAGCUCCUGUAAAACCUGUAUAGUGGAGAAGAAAGCAUGUAAGCUUUCAUGUUAAUUGUCAAUUAUAGUGAAAAAACUGGGGAUUAUUGCAUAUAUAAACAACCUCAAACACACCUGGGGUUGACAUAGUAACCUCCAUCUACAAAUCAAGAAGAAUUACAAAUUUAGAGAACUUCAUUAUCAGUAUAUUCAUGAACUGCAAGACUAAGAAUGAAAAUAAAUUCAUCUAGUGUAAUAUGGUGUUUGAUAAAAAAUAAAAUAAAAGCAUACAAAAGUGAUGAUUAACUAUUGGGCUAUGGCACAAGUUCUUGAAUAUAGCAAGGUUGGAUUGGGUUCCACUGAGGAGUAUUGGAAACAUGAUGAUAAUUACUUUUAGGGGUUUGGAGAAUUCAAUCAAAGGCAAGACACUUUGGCAAAUUGCUUGUCUCGUCUUAUUGUGAAUUGUGUGGUAAGAGAGAAAUGCUAGGAUUUUUUAGGAUAAGGGGAGAUCAAAAGGGAUAUUAUGGGAUUUACUUCACUUCUACUCCUCUCUAUGGCCUCUUGUAGUGUUGCUUUCAGAGGAGUUCCUCUUUUGUGUUAUACAACUCAACUGGCUUGCGGUUUGUGAUUCAAAAGUUUGAGAUAGUUAGGGGUUAUCUUUGUAUAUAGUUUUGGAUAGAAGGGUGUUUUCUUACUUUGAUCAAAAUUUGUUUUUUUUUUGGGAAAGACCUCUCAUCAUUCUCUUGUACCUUUACUAUUAUUAUCAUUAAUAUAAUUUAUAUUUUGUUUCUAAUCAAAAAAAAAAAAAAGCAUGCAGAAGUGAAAAAAUUGGACAGGCUCAAAUUUUAAGUAUGUUUGAUAAUAAAUAUGUCAUUACCAUGUAACACUGAUUUCUAAUCAAAAAUCACUUAAUCAGCUAAGUAAAUGAAAUUGACUUUUCAUUUAAAGCAAAACACAAAAAAUCCUUCAAAAUUUUUUUAAAUAUCAAAUCCUUGUAAUAAAUUUUCCUUUUUGCCUUUUCUUAUAAAUCUAAAAAAAAUACUCUAUAGAAUACUUUUACCAAAUGAAAUAUAUAUAAAAUAGGAAUUUGAGAUACUUUUCAACAAAUAAUAAUAAUUUAAGAAUAACAAUAACAUAAAAUUUAAAAUAGGCAUUUUUAAAAAGUUAUAUACAAUUUUACAAUACAAUACUUUUCAAGUCAUAUUUAUAACUUUGGUUAAAAAUUAUGGUCAUUAAAUGUAAAGACAAAUUUGUGAAAUAAAUAGAUUUUAAACUUUUUUUUUAUUAAACACUUAAAUUUAAAUUCAUCAUUUAGCUUUUAGAAGAUACUUUCAAUAGUUCUAAUUCUUAGCAUUUAUAAUUCAUUGGUAAAAUUAGUGGCGACUGAAGUGCUAAAAGAAGAUAUUUUGGAAAUUCAAGAGUUGUUUUAAUCGACUUUCAAAAGGGUUAAAAACAUAUGGAUUGCGAUAUUUUGGAUGAUACUUUAACCAUAGGUUUUAGUCCAAAGUGGAGACUAUGGAUUCAAGGGUGUUUAUCAUUAACUAGUUUUGCUAUUCUAGUCAAUGGAUCUAUCAAAAGUUGGGUUUUAGAGGCUUAAGAUAAAGCAACCCUCUCUCCUUUUUUCUUUUCAGCAUUGUCGCUGAUAUGUUGAGUAGGAUAGUAAUGAGAGUUAUGGACCAUGGUUCACUGGAAGGCUUUUUGGUGGGUAAUUAUAGCACAAGUAUCUUAACUUCAAUUUACUAAUGAUAAUAUUUUUCUUUAAGGCUAACCUUGAGGAAAUGCAAAACCUUAAGUUCAUCUCAAUGGUUUCCAAAAGCAAACUAAAGAUUAAUCUAGAAAAAGGGUCAUUAGCAGGUAUUGAUGUCAAAGAGAACUUUGUUCAUGAUUUAGCUUGCCUCUUGGAAUGUAGAGUCUCUAAUUGGCCCCUUACCUACCUAGGUCUCCCUUUGGUGGGGAACCCUAGAGUUGUUUCAUUUUGGGACUCAAUCUUAGACUUGUCAAUUAGAUGGUUGAAGAAAGUUUUUUUAUCCUUGGGAGGUACAACAACCCUUAUGCAUUUAUCGCUUAACCUCAUUUAUUUCCUUUUGGUUUUCAAGGUCCUAGUAAAAGUGGCUUCUAGAAUCGAGAAAAUGUGUAGGACUUUCUUUGGCCAGGAUUUAGAAAAGGAAAGAGAGACCACUAAGCUGAUUGGGAACAUGUGUGCAAACCCAAAAGGGGUGGAGGUAUGGGGUUGGGGAGAAUCUCCUUGAGAACUAUAGCCCUUCUAGGUAAGUGGUUGUGGAGGCUUCCUAUAACAAUAAUACUUCCAGUGUAGAGACAUCUUAAAUAUUAUAGCCUCACUCCAAUGGUUGGGCUACCAACAUUGUUGUUAAGUGGUUUCAAUGAUUUCUCUUAUUUUACCCAAUUCUCAAUGAUAGAAGGUAAAAAUCUGAUUUUGGGGGGACAUUUGGUUGGGUGAUCAUCCUCUCAAGCUUUAGUUGUCAAUUUUUUUCAAGGCUACACGGACUAGAAACUUGCUUGUUUCCUCUAUUCUAGUUCCAUUCUCUAACUACAUCUUGAAAUUUCAAUUUCCAUCAAAACCUCUCCAAUCUAGAAAUCGAGGAGCUAACUAGUCUUCUUUCCUCCUUGUUACACCUAUACCCAUCACCUUUCUUCCUAUAUGAAAAAGUUUGGUCAUUUACACCCUUAAGAACGUGCUCAUGAGUGGUUCCUUUAAAGCUUUUUCAGUUUCUCCUAUCUUUGACUCCUUUAGCUCUUUGCUAAUUUAAUCUGGAAUUCAAAGCUCCAUCAAAGCUUAAGGCUUUUGCAUGGUUAUGGCUAAUAAGAAGGUUAAUACCAACAACUUGCCUUAGUUUUGAAGACCCUACAAAGCUCCCAGCCUAGCCAAUGUUUGUGUAGAAGUGUAAUGAAACAAUUGAUCAUCUUUUUUCUUCAUUGUCUCAUAGCACUAGAACAUUGGCAUAGAUUGUUUUGUGUUGCCAUGAUUAGUUAGGUACCUCCUAGAAGUGUAGCAAAGAUUUUAGGAUUCUUUUUUAAAGGCUUUGGCAAUAAAUCAAAAAGGAAGGUUCUUUAUCAAGUGGUUAUCUUAUGCUUGAUAUGGUUUUUAUGGUUAGAGAUGGAUGCUAGGGCAUUUGAGGAUAAAUAGAGAUCUAUGGAUGCUAUUAGGGAUUCGAUUUUACUUUUUCUCUUCCCUAUGGGUCUCAGCCACUAAGUCUUUUGUUAAUGUUCAUUUAUAUCUUGUAUUACUAAAUCAAAAGAAUGUCUACUGCUCAAAAAAAUGAAUAGAAAGGCUACAAUUGAUAAGCUACCCCCACUUGUAAGUUUGUUAAAGUUAAACUUGACAAAUGUUUUUUAAGUAAUCCUAGACAAUUAAGAAUUGGAAGUGUGAUGAGAGAUCAUUCAAGCAUAGUACUGUGAGCUUACUUUAAACCUACAGCAAGAGGUUCAGCUAUUGAGAUAAAAAGAAAAGCAUUAUUGGAGGUGCAUACUAAAGCUUUGCGCCUAUCUAAUCUAACCGUAAAGGGAGAUUUUGCUAUUAUAAUAUCUUAGGGGUCUAAUAAGAAAGAAGCUCAUAGAAGUUUGACGAUUAGAUCCAGAAAAUUAUAGAUGUGGCUAGAGAGGUGGGAUGCUCCUUCUCUUGGGUUAUUCAUUCAACUAAUCAAGUUGUGGACUAGUUAGCCAAGCAAGAAGCAAAGUAUUUGGUCUCCUUUGUUGAAUAUUUUCUUCCCCCAUGAGUGUAUAAAGUUUCUUUAGUGUUUGCAUGCUUUUUCUUUUGUUUGUGCAGAUGGUUAUAGCUUUUUUUUUUUGGUGAGCAAGAUACUUGUUUACCUUUUUAUCAAUAAUUGUGCAUCUUGGAAGGAUUGUUUGUGCUUCUUUCUAUUUACAAUUCAAUGAAUGAAUAUGUUUGUUUUUUAUCAAGAAAUACUAAUAACAAUUCAGCACUAAAAUUUUCAAUACUAAAUUUUUUAUAUUAUCAAACACCACUUAACUUUUCUAUACAAAGUAUGUUUGCUCUAAACAUUUAGAAGUAACUCAUUUUAACAAUAAAAAUAAGGGAAUGAUUUAAUUCUUAUAAUAAUGUUUGCAUAGAAGUAACUCAAUUCUAUACAAAGCAUCAAUGUUUGGGCUAUUCAUUAAUGAAUAAAAUAUAUAGGAACACAAGGUGAAUUAAGAGGAUAUACCUUUUUUUCCAACAAGCUUUUUCCUGUGCAUAUGGAUACCAAAAAUUUUGCAGAUCCUAUCAAAAAUAUUUUUUAAAAAAAAUGCAUAUGGAGAGGUCCCUGAUCCAAUCUCACAUACAUAAGAAGCAAAAUGACAGUAAGAAGACUCACCACUGAGAUGUCACCAGUUAGUGCAGUACCUUCAGCUUCCAACGCUAGCUCUACACUAGACAAAAGAGUGAAAGAUGAUAUGCCUCAAUCUAGCGCAUUGACUAUAAAAUGAAAUUUGAAAUAAAAACAAUAUAUCAUAUAAUACCACAAAAACAUAAUUACUGAUGCAAAUCAGGCAGAUCAAGGGCCAAACAUACCCUAAACAAAGAAGGGAACUCUAGUCCCAACCAAAAUCAAAUGAAAAUCAAUGCAAAGUGCUAUCACCAAGUUGUAGCUCAGUGGUAAUGUCCUCUAGGAAUGAACAAAAGGUCCUGAAUUCAAGCCUCCUCAGUAUUUUUUUUUUGAUAAGUAAACGAUUAUAUUAACGAAGACAAGCCUCCUCAGUAUUAGAGUGGUGUAGGAUAGAGGGACAAACCCAUGUUACCUGGGUUUGCUUCACUUAUCAUUUGGAUGUUCAGGUGGAUUCCUCCUUAUAAGAAGUUAAUAAAAAUAAAUAAAUAAUAAAUAAAAAGAUCAAUGCAAAGUGCUCAACCUAGUUGAACACCACCAGAUAUCUCUUGUUCUCUUUUUUUUUUUUCUGAAAAAAAUCCCAUUCAAAAAUCUCAACAUUAAUGCAAUUCAUCUUCUGUUGAUACAAUUGUUAAUAAACCUUCAAAAGCAAACUUACACCCUUCUUCUGUGCCUUGGACCAUUAGCUCCAUGGAACCUCUUGACUAGUCCUUGAGGUACAACCCAUGAAAAGCAAAGAAUAGUUUUAUAACAUAAUGGUUCCAAAGAAAUGAGAAAACUAAACUCUUUGGCAAAAAUAGUUUAGUCAGCCCUCAUACAACCCCUGGAAAAACUAAUACCCUCGACUCCCAUCAGAGAAGAAAACUAAAAAGCUCAACUUCCACGGAGAAUGAAAACCAUGUCAUCGCUUAUGAGGAAAACUAUUACCAGACUAAUGGUCUGAUCUUUUAUUAAAAUUUAUGUUCAAAUGGGAUACAAUUCAAGUCACUUUAGCAUAUUGGAUCAGUCGUUGAUCUUAACCUCUUUCUCAGAAGCUUGAUUCUUAUUCUGAACAGCAAAAUGAAAUUGAGUGGAGCAUAUUUUUAAGGCCUCUACUCUCUUCAUAACCUACAUUGUAACUCUACGUCCCUUACUUUAUCAUUGUAGAAGCCGAAAAUCCCACAAAAAUCAGGGUCUUUUUUUUCCAAAUACCUGUUGGCAACCGGGCACGAAGGCAUGGGAUUACGCCGGCCUUGUUGAUUUCAGUUAGGGUUGUGUUGAGUUUGAGAGAAGAGCAAGAAACCCUAAAUAAGGGCGCUGCGGCAGUCGGAAAUCCCAGGGAAUGACAACGCCAGAAGGAGAAGCUCGCCAAGGCCAUAUCCUCGUCCGCUGCCACCUCUGCUCUGAUUUUUUUUUUUUUUUUUUUUUUUUUGAAUGUAUCCUGAAGUGGGCCGGGUUUUAUACUUAUGCGUUUCAACUUUCAACCGUAGCAUUUGUCUUUUUCUCAGCCUCCAUGCCUACUACUAAAGGGUAUUCUCGGUAAAAUUUAGAGCAACGUUGUGAUUAAAUAAAGUUUUUAUUUAAAAAAAUAUUUAAAAAAAAAAAAUUAUAACAUUGUUUAUAUGUUGUUCUCUGUUUACAAAUUAAAAAUAAUAAUAAUAAUAAAGUAAAAUAAACAACGAUUUUUAAAUAAAGAGAAGUUGUUUUCACUUUUCACCUAUUUUUAAAAAUGAUAACAUGGAGAAAUUAAAAAAAAAUCCAUUAAAAAAAAUUAAAUUAAACAUGAUAUUAUUUUUUUAUCCAUGGUCUAAUAUCAAUAUUAAAAAUAUUUAAACAUAAUAUUCGUUUAAAUUAUGUGUGUUUUUUAAAUUUCUUUUAACUUAUAUAAAAAUUUUAAAAAUAUUUAAAAUUCAAAAUUUGAUUUAGUUAAUAUUAAAAAAAUUUAUGGAAUUCAAUAACAUGUCAUACACUAAAAUUUAUUUUAAAUAAAGUAUUAGUUUCUUCUUUUAUAUAUAUAUAUAUAUAUACAUAUCAUAUUUUUACAAGUUUUUCAGCAAAUAAACUCCAACUUAAGUAAGACUUAAUUUGGGAUUUUAUUGAUAAAUUAAUACCAUAAAUUUAUUGACAAAAAUUAAUUUAGAUCAUUAUUUUUCUAUAUUUUUAUUGGAUAAAUAAAUUUCAAAUAAAACAAGACUUAAAUAUAUUGGAUUCACUUAGGAGUAUGGUAAUUUUUAGAAAUAACUUAAAACUCAAAUAGUAAUUCAAUUAAUACCAAAAAUUUAUAAGCAAUCAAAUAAAGAUAAUAUGACCUUCAUUUACUCAAAUUGCCUCCAAACGGGCUCACAUGAUUUUGCAGAGAUGUAGUACAACCAAUUUACAAAAUGGGGUAGAUUUUUACGGUUAAUACAAAUUAAUCAUUUUUUAAUGCAUUUAAUCACCAUUAACGAAAUAAUUGUAGUUAAAAUGCUUUGGAUAUUAACCAUUUUCAUUAAUAUUAUUUUUAUUGAAAAUAUUUUAAAUAUAUAUACAUAAUAUUUAAAUAUAAAUUAAAAAUUAUUUUGACAAGGCUUUUGUUAAUAUAUUAAUAACAAAUAAUAAUAAUAAUUUUAAAUGAUCACCCAUCAAAUAAUUAUUCAAAAAUUAUUUAGAAUGAUUCUUUAAACUUUUUAAAAAGUCCCUCUGACGUCUAAUUUUGAAGAACUUUGGCUGAUAUUUAAAAUAUAAAUCAAAAAAUAAUUUGACAAUGCAUUUGCUUUAGAUGAUUUAUUAGUAACAAUUUUUUUUUAAAAAAAAAAUGAUCAUCUUUCAAGUAAUUCUUCCGAAAUUAUUUAGGAUGGUUUUUAAAAUUUUUAGAAAUCAUUUUUAAAAAUUUGUCAAACAUUAGAAAACGGUUCUAACCUAUAAUAGAAAAUUGCAUUGAACAGACCAGUUAAAUAGGUUAGACUGUCAACCUUGAUCUUGUCCAUUCAUGCUUGGUUUGGUUCAUCUUAUUUCUAGUUUUCAUAUUUAAAUAUUAUACAUAUUUUAUUUAAUAAAAUUUAAAUUAUUAAUAUAUUUAUAUAAAAUAUGAAAAAUAAAUAAAUAUCAUUUAUAUAAAUUGUAUAUUUAUAAUAUUACUGGUUCUACCACAAUUCGACCAUCAAUUCGACUAGUGAAUUAUGAACUAGUAACUUUUUUUAUUAGUAGUCCAAUUUUUAAAACAUUCAUUUUAUUUCAUCAAAAUAUAGAUUAUAUUUAAUUAUUUAUUUUAAAUACUUUGUUAUGAUUGACCAAUUCAUUUUUUAUGCAUCCAAUUAACAUGAUGUGAUUCAAAAAAAACAUCAUUCCUCUACAUCAAAUAAUAUAAAUUGUUAAUUCUCUCUCUUUUGUUGUCAUAUGUUUUUUUACUUAAUUCUAAAAAUAACUUAAAAUUAAAUAGAAACUAAAUAUUGUUUAAUAGUGUCAAGAAUUAAGUUAUUUGUUUUCUUAAUAUUUUAUUUCUAUUAAUUAUUAUAAAGUUAAGAAAAAUCAUCAAAUUACUUUUACUAUUCAAAAAGAGACAAAUAUUUAUCUUCUUUUAUUCAAUUAAAAAUUUUAAAAAAUAUAAAUAAGUUAACAAGAAAAUAAAAUAAAAUAAACGACUUAAAAUCUAAAAACAAAUUACUUUAAGUAAAUAGUUAAAACAACAAACACCACUUAAGAAAUGUUAUGAAGUAUAACCGAGGUAUCAAAAAAAUAAUUAAAAAUUCUUUAAAUAAAUUUAUUAUUUUGUUUCUAGCUUCAUUUAUAUGGAAAUUUUGGAACCUAAUAAUUUCAAGCUUCAAAUUUUGUAUUUUUACAUAUCUUAUUAAUGUGUCACGUGCUUCAUACGUGGUCACAUUUAUUUUUUUAUUGCCUAAAAAAAUAUAUAUUUGCCAUGGAAAGUGAGACACUUGACGUUGUUUCUCACUGAUUAGCAACAUGCUCAUAAACCAUAUCCUAAUACGUUUCUUGCGGUGAACUUUUCUUUUGGGUCAUUAUUCUCCAAAUUCCAAAAGAAAUUUGUUUGUUUGUAGGAAACUGAAAAUUUUAAGUCACAUGAUAUUGUAUUUGGAAUUGUUUCAUUUGGUAGAUUAAAAAAUUUUAAAAAGAUGAAGUGAAAUUAAUAUACUAAGAAUGGAUUGUUGGGGAGAUUGGUGUGAAGUUGAACUUGUGAAAAUGAGAAAUGCCACAAAAUUUUGAUAAAAAAAUAGCAGUUAUAAGAGAGAGGAUAGGAACAAAAAACUUAUUCCUCACAUGGGGCAACCACAAACAGCUAAAACCAUUACUCAUAAGAAAACAAGAGAGAGUAGUCCCACAUCGAAACAUUGGAGAAUAUUUGCCCACUUUAUUUUAUAAGGUUGAGACGUAAUAGUCAACUUGAGAGGGUGUAGGUCGGGAAUUGUGGACAAAUGCAUUACAAUAGUCUAAAUCCAUAGACUCAAAAAAUAGGUUGGUUUAGCCGGUAUUUUCUUCCCUCCAACAAAAUGAAAACCCAGCCCAAGAGGUCCCAGCACACCAAAAUCCAAAAUUCCCAGUUGAAAAGAGGCCCCAACAGUUCAUAGAUGAUAUGACAAAUAUUUACAAGGUGUUCAGAGGUUUGGUUAACAAUAAAUACAAAUAUGGUAAAGUCUUAUGAGAUUUGACUUUUGUUUCUUCUUUUACCAUUCGUCUAAUCACUUCCUCCUUGUCUUUUUCUUCUCUUUUCUUUCACAUGCAGAAUACGUGGCUUGUACAUGGCUUUACUAGUUCUGAACUUCUACUGCUACAUUAAAUUCUUGUAGUUGGAGAUGCAUUUACUGCUUUAUUGUCGUCAUUGUUGGCAUCAACCUUCCAUUGCAUUUUACUAAUUAUAAUAACAUUCGUCAUCAAGGUUUUACCAAAAUGAUGUGUCAUCACUGAGGUAAGAAGAUGGUUUUGGUACUUACACACUAAGUUCAGUUAUAAAAUCUUGUUCUUGAGAAGUGAUAAGAGGUUUUGGAACAACUUGAGAGGGUGUAGGUUGGGAAUUUUGGACUAGUGCAUUACAAUAGUCUAAAUCCAUAUACUAAAAAAGGGGUUGGUUUAGCCGGUAUUUUCUCCUCUCCAACAAAAUGAAAACCGAAGAAGACCCAAGAGGCCCUCAGAGACAUAAAAAGGGUUGGUUUACCAAGGAAUUUAUCCCCUCCAACAAAAAGAAAACCCAACCCAAAAGGCCCUAACACUCCAAAAUCCAAAAUUCCCGGUUGAAAAGAGGCCCCAACAGUUCAUAGAUGACAAGACAAAUAUUUACAAGGUGUUCAGAGGUUUGGUUAACAAUAAAUACAAAUAUGGUAAAGUCUUAUGAGAUUUGACUUUUUUUCUUCUUUUACCAUUCAUCUGGUCACUUCCUCCUUGUCUUUUUCUUCACUUUUCUUUCACAUGCAAAAUACGUGGCUUGUACAUGGCUUUACUAGUUCUGAACUUCUACUGCUACAUUAAAUUCUUGUAGUUGGAGACGCAUUUACUGUUUUAAUGUUAUCAUUGUUGACAUCAACCUUCCAUUGCAUUUUACUUAUUAUAAUAACAUUCAUCAUCAAGGUUUUCCCAAAAUGAUGUGUCAUCACUGAGGUAAGAAGAUGGUUCUGGUACUUCCACAUUGAUUUCAGUAAUAAAAUCUUAUUCUUGAGGAGUGAUAAGAGGUUUUGGAACAAUAAUGUGCUCCAAAGGUUUGUUUCUCCAUAUGAACAUAGUUUUUGUUUCUCCAAUGAGAUGAAAUAAUUUAUUCCAGGUUGGUCUGAGAUCAUAAAUUUGAAAGGCUCUAAAACGAGUAAAAAAUUAUUGAAAUUCAUUUGGACGGGUCAUUUCCCAUUUUGGUUUUGUUAAGGAAUCUGUGGUUCUUUAUUAUGUUUUAUAUAUACAUGGUGAUAAGUUGGCACUACUGAUCAUCAGUUUAAAAUAAAGGUGGAAUGGUUUCAAAAGAAAUGUCUAUCCGUUUUUCGAUUUUGAAAAUAUAGGUUAAAAUAUAUUUUAAUUUUUUUGGGAAAUUUUCAAGGAUUUGAGAUACAUGGUUCAUAAAAACAUUUUUUAAAAUUCCCUGAUCCAUGAAUUAGGGUACUAAAUAAAAAAUUUCUUUAUUUACAACAAACAUAUUUACAUAAGCUAAAUAUAUAACAAAUAAAAAUUCAAGGUCAUGAUAUGCCAUAUACCUUGUUUUUAUCUCGACAUUUUUGGUUCUAAAAUGUUUAUAUAAAAGUUCUUGAUUUUUAAACACUUUGUUAUAUUAGGUUUGUAGACAGAAGGCUUCGACUAAAGAGUAGUUAUCGGCCCCAAUUAGGUUUUUAACAACAAGUUUUUCAUAUUGUUCAGACAAAAGAGUUGAUUUCUUAAUUAAACUAAAUAUUUCAGGUUGACUAUUUGAACAAUUGGUUUGACCGGUUGACACUGUACUGGUUUUCAAAUCCUUCAUCAGUCUUUCUUGAUUUUCUUGGAUUUUAAGCUUUUGAAAUUUUAGGGUUUCUAAAGCAAUCAGUUGGUUUUGAAGGUUUUGUAAAUAUUGGGUUAAAACUGACAUGGUUUUUCCAUAAACAUAUUCUAAAUUUUGGUUUGGAAAACUCUAUUGUUUUAGAGACCAAAUAUUAUCUACAAUAACCUUAUGUUCCUCAAAAAUGUUUUGAGAAUAUAAAGAGUUAAACCUCAAAUUUGGAUUCAAUGCUUCAUUCAGGCAUAUGGUUCCAAAUUGAAAGGUUCUAGCUUUAGUGGGUUUUCUUUUAGCUAUGUUCCUGUAACAUAAAGUCAAUCAUUAGCAUUAUCAACAUUAUUAAUUAUUUGUCUACUUAACCAAUCUGUUGAUAUAUUAUCUUUUUCUUUAAUGUGUUCAAAUUUAGGUUUGAAACCAAUUAAAGAGUUUUGAAACUUUAUCCAUCUUUUGGUGGACAAUUUUGAAGAAUUUUUAUUUUCAAAGAAUUUUUUAAUAUUCUCAUAGUUGGUUUUUAAAGUAAAUUGUUCUUGGUUAAAAAAUAAUUGAAAUUUUUCUAAGACUAAUAUUAUUGCUUCAAUUUCUAAGUCUAUAGAACUAAGGUUCUUUUGAUAAUCAUUAAAAAUUCCACUACAAUAUCUACAAAGUUUUUCUUCUCCUAGAUUAGUGAUUGCUAAAAGUAUACCUCCCCAUCCUGUUUGGCUAACAUCAGUUUGAACUAUUUUAUAUUCACUUUCUAAGGGUAAAUAUAAGGUUGGGAGAUGUUUCACAAGUUCUUUUAUUUUUUGUACAAGUCUAAUAUAUUUUGGGUUAAAAUAUCUCUGUCAUGUGCUUUUUGUUUUACUAUAAAGGGGUCCAGCUAAUCUGCUAAGGUUUUUAAUAUACGGUCUAGCAUAGUUUAAUAAUCCUAAAAAACUUUGAAGAGUUUUUAAGUCUUCGAGUUUAUCUGGAAAAUUAUUUAUUUUUUGUAUUAUAUGAUCUUGCAGUUUUAUUUGUCCAUCCUUUAAUUCUAAUCAUAAAAAUUAUAUUUGGGUUUUAAAUAAUUUCAGUUUCUUUUUGCUUACUAUUAAUCCAUGACUAAUUAGUUUUUCAAAAAUAAAUUCUAAAUGUUUUAUUUGUGACACGACUCUCCUUGUCUCUCGCUCACCCUCUUUUUUAGUCACAAAUAGCAUUGUAUGGAUUUGGCAUCUAAAGACCCAGAUAUUAUCAAAAUCUAUUGGAGUUUUCCUAAAAAUUUAACUUGAGAAAAACAAGGGAAAAUGGACAACAUGCUUUUGUGAGAAGGUUAGUACAAAGGUAGAGUUAGGAACUCAUCAAGUUGACAACAUGAACCACCAACAAUGUCUUUUACACGUAUUGACUCCCAUAGUAAAGGAGUUCAUGAGGCACUUUAAUGGCUGACAAACAUGGUGGGUACAUUAUAAGAUAUGAAUAGCCAGAUAACAACAUUGAUUAAGAGUACUUAACAAAAAUUGGGGGGCAGAACCCAGUACACUAGGAGUAUACAGAGAGCACAAAAACAAAGAAGAAAAAAAAACCAGAAUUGAAAAAAAUGUAUAUACAAAUUAGUCUUNNNNNNNNNNNNNNNNNNNNNNNNNNNNNNNNNNNNNNNNNNNNNNNNNNNNNNNNNNNNNNNNNNNNNNNNNNNNNNNNNNNNNNNNNNNNNNNNNNNNAAAAUGGGGGCAGACCCAGUACACUAGAGUUAUACAGAGAGCACAAAACAAAGAAGAAAAAAAAACCAGAAUUGAAAAAAAUGUAUAUACAAAUUAGUCUUUAACAAAAAUCCAUUAUGGAAAAGUCAAACUCCCCAAGGGAUCCUAGCCUACUAAUUAAUUCAGGAGAAAGUCUUUGAACUCUUGAUGUGAAGACUCGUCUUCCCUAACAUUUAUGUUGUUGUGGUCUUCCAUAAGCACCAAAACAUGCAUGAGGGCCAUGUUCCAGAUUCUUCAUCUUUUCUGCAUUUUCUUUGGGAAUAUUACCACUAAAAUUCAUAUAUGGAAGCAGAAUACACACAUUUCACCUUAUGAAAUAGUAUAAAUAAAAAAAUUAUGGAUGGUAAUAUUCUAAUAGGCAAAUUUAUAUAUGCAAAGGAAAAAAGGGGUUUUAAUUUUUCUUGUCUAUCUUCAUCAACUAGUGCUCAAACCAUGUAACCAAUGUGUUUUCCCAUUCAUACUAGUUGAAUUUACAUGUUUUUAGAAAAUCAAAACAAAAAAAAAAACAACUUAUUUAAAUAAGUUUUCUGUUUUUUAUUUUAAAAAAUUAUUUUUAAAUACAACUUGCUAAACACCCCUUAGUUUAGAAAGAAAAACAUAUCAAAAGUGACAUAAGACAAAUCAGAAAACUAAGUGUCAUACUUAGGUCUUUGGAUAAUGUGUGGCAAAAGAAACACAAUGUCUAUUACCAUGGUCUAUGAUAUUCUUUUAAAAGUUGCAAUGAUUAUUUGAUGAUAAGAGCAAGUUAAUUAGACCAUUAAUUAUCCUUAAGACUAUUAAGAGCACUAGGAUUUAAGAGAUCAUAGAGACCUUACCAGAAUCCUUUGGGAUGGCUAAAGGGAUUCUUAAAGAUAAAAAAUGUGUUAAUAUGAGAGUUAAGGGUUCUUUAGGCUCUUCUACUAAGAAGAAAAAUAACAACACCAAAUGAGAAAAGUUCAAAAAAAGAAAUAAGAGAGCAAACUCUUGGGCAAGUGAUUCCUUUUUGCCUUUUUAUGACAUUAGAGAAAGAAUGUUCGGUUUACCUAAGGAAAAAAGGAAAGUAUACACAAUUUUCUCAUUGUUGAAUAUAAAGUGAUGGAUUUCACCAGUUAUGGAGGAUAGAUUUCAAGCCUACCAUAUGUAGUUCUCUACCAGGUUUUCAACAAGUGAGAAGGUUGCUUGAUGAUAUUGUACUUGUCUUAACUUUAGUUGCAAGAUUUGUUGUGCAGACUAGUGGGAGACAUUUCCUUUUUUUUUUGUGUGACUCCAUUAUCACUUUGUCAAGUAAUGGGAAUAGUCAAAUCUUACCAAAAGAAAUAAACCUAGCAUUAUUCAAACAUUUAGCUCUAAUGUCUAGGUCAUAUUAAUUUAAAGAGGAUCCAAUCUUUGGUUAAGUUUGGAGACUUCAAUUCCAAAGAAUCUUCCAAUAUAUGGAUCCUAUAUAAGUGGUUGAAUGAUUAAAAGGUCUUUUAUUUCUAAAAGACAUAAAAUUAAGGAAAAUUUAGAGUUAGUGCAUACUAACAUGUGUGAACCUUUUUUAGUUCACACAUGGGGAAAGUAUGAGCAUUUCAUCACUUCCAUUGAUGAAUACUCUAGGUUUGGAUAUGUGUACCUAGUACAUAGCAAAUCCAAUUUCUUAAAUAAAUUCUUUGAAUUUUAGGAAAAAUCGAAUAACCUAUCGGGUAAACAUAUUAAGACACUUCAAUUGGAUCAAGGUUGUGUAUCUAGUUAGUCUAAUUAUUUCCUUAAGGAGAACAUGAUUAUAUCCCAAUUGUGUGCACUAAGGACUCCAUUAAAAAAUGGAAUAGAGGAAAUAAGAAAUCAAACUUAAUAGACAAAGUGAGAUUGAUCAUUGGUUUCUCAUAACUUGCCAUAUUCUUUUACGGAUAUGUCUUAGAGUUCGUGUCUUUAUUUUUUUUUCUUAAGAGAUAUAUCAAUUUAUGGAAUAUCUUAGAGGAUUGAGGAUUUCAGUGUUGUUACUUUAUAAUUAGGAUGAUUAGAAGGUGUUUGUUGGUACAAAUGUCAGAUUUAUGAUAAAAACUAUAAGAUAAGUAAUAAGGCAAAGAGUGAUACAGAUUGAAAAACACUAGAAGAUACUCUAACUUUUGCAUAAAAUACUAUGAAUCCAUAAGUAUAGAGAUAUACCAUUUCCAUUACUUUUAGUAUACCAAUAUCUCAUUAUAGUGAGAGGUUUAUACCCCACAAAUUUUGAUGAAGUAAUGAGCAAUAUUAAUGCUCAUAGUUUAGUAAGGAGCUAUAAGGGAUAGUUAGAAUUUUUAUAUUCUAUCAGUAUCUAGGUUCCUAGAAAAACACCUAAAGGGAUAAAACUCAUAGGUGUAAGUUGUUCUACAAGAGGAAUAAAGAAGUAGAUGGAAAAGUUGAGAUUUAAGUGGCUAGGUUAUGGCUAAAGGUUAUAAUUUGAAACAUUGUUUCAACUAUAACAAACAUUUUAAUCAAUAGUCAUACUCAAAUCCAUUAGAGUACUCCUAUCCAUUACAGUGAAUCUCAGUUAUGAGAUAUUACGAUAACAUAUCAAGAUAGUGUUCUUAAAUGGUUAUCUUGAUGAUUAACAUCUAUGAUGCAAAUGACCGUUUUCAUAUCAAAGGGCCUUUAAGGUGCAAGAAGGCACAAAGAAACAUGAUGGUACUCUAAGAUCUUAUCGGUAGAUAAUGAUCUACUCAUUGAGAAUGAUAUACGGAUAUUGUCAUCAAUUAAUAUCUAGUUGUCUAUUCAAUUCUGGAUGAAAAUCUAGAACGAGUGUAAUAUAUUCUUGUGUUUAAGGUCUUUGGGAAUGCAAGAAUAGGAAAAUUGUAUUAUUUUAAACCUUUUACACUGAUAAGCAUUUGGUCAAGUACAUAGUAUAGGACUCUAAGAAAUGAUCCAUUGCCUUUUAAGUCUACAUUUGUCUUUUUUUUUCAAGAUUAAUGUCCUUAGAUAUCUUAUGAGAGAAAUCACAUUAAGAUGGUAUCCUAUGCCUCUGCUAUAUGUAGCAAUAUGUAUGUGAUGUUAUGUACUAGAUCAGAUAUUUGUUUUAUUGUAGGUUUGAUGAGUAGAAAUUAGUCAAAUCAUAGUUCUAAACACUGAACAUCUAUCAAGCAUCAAUGUUUUUAGAACCAGACCGAUCAUUGAACUGGAAAAGUUAUCGGUUCACGGUUCAUUGGUUGGACCAGUGGUCGAACCGUAGUCGAAUCAGUGACAUCAUAAAUAUGAAAUUUGUAUAUUAUUAAAAUUAAAAAUAAUUAUAAAAAAUUAAAAAUAUAUAUGAAUAAAUUAAAAAUCAAUAAUAUUAUUUUAUAUCUUUGAUAUUAUCAAAUUAAAUCAUAUUAAUAUUUUAAAUUUUAUUAAAUGAAAUAUGUAUAAUAUUUAAAUGUGAAUAUAUUAAAAAUGAAAAUUUAAACUAAUUUUAUAAUUUUAAAAAGUAUUAUAUUAUUUUAUUUAAUAUUAUAAAAUUUUUAAAAUCUAAUAUAUGUUGUUUUGUUUGGCAUAUUCAAUAACAAAAUGCAUGUAGCCAAGUGGUGUCCGGUGUUGAUAGCAGAACCUAAGGUCCAAGAUUCAAACCCUCUUGGUGGAGAUUUGAUAUAAUUAUUUCAUUGAUAUUAGUUAGCAGUCCCACAUUGGAUUUUGAGAGAAAAAUGAUGCAAAAGAUGCCUAUAAAAGCCAUCCUCACUGAAGGCAAAGACAUCACCUGGGCUUAAGACUCAGCCCACAAAAUCGUUAGGGUGGGUGUGGGCUUUAGCAAAAAACAUUUGAACUCAUUGAACCCUUUUAGGUCUUUCGUGUUUAUAAAAUAAGGGGGUAAUUUGAACUGUUCAGUUCGUUUAGAACUGUCCGGUUUCACCGGGUCACCGGUCCAACCGCUAGUUUAGGCGGUUCAUGACCAAUCCAAUACCCAAACAGUUUAAUAAAGUGAAUCGGACUAAAAAUGUCACUGGUCGACGGUUGAACCGGUUGGACCGGUCGGUCCGGUCUGGUUUUUAAAACAUUGUCAAGCAUAUACCAAAGUAUCUUGAAAGAACCAAGGAUUAUGUGUUUGUGUUCUAAAGUAUUAAGAUAAUUUAGAGAGGUGAUGUGAUGGUUGAAAAGAUAUCUUAUGUGGAAAACCUGGUAAAACCUUUUACCAAGACAUUAACAGGAGAGUUUUUUAUGCUCAUAAGGAUAACAUAGUUGUUGGAUGUGUAUUUGGUAUGCUUUGAUAGAAUUAUUCUUUGAGGACUAGUGAGAGAUUGUUUAGAUAGAGCCCUUAAAAAUAUGACAUGGUGUAACAAAUUUGGAAUUCAUUAUUUAUUUAAUGAUGUUCGAGUUUCACAUUUAUCUAUCCUUAUUCUAUGCAUUAUACUUUAUGAGUAUUCUUGUCUAACAUCUUUUGCAUUAUACAUGACUUGGGUGCAUUAGCAAUUGCAUGGAAGACUUAAGUCAUAGGUUCCUUGCAAAUAGAUGAUUUGUUCACAACUAAUUCAUGGACUUGGACAAUACAUUUGAGGCUAUAGUGCACCACUUUCUAAUUGGAUGGAUAACUAGUCUUGGCCAUCAGGAUGAGGUUCCCAUAAUGAGUAUACUAGUGUGUACGAUUACAUAUUAGACAGGGCCUAGGUGAGUCAUGACGUAAGACCAUCAUGUAGUCAUGACUUCACCAAGUUGCUAUACGAUAUUGUCUCUUAACAUUGAGAGAAUAUUGAGUUUGUACCAAAGUUAAGAAUAUUUUGACCUAUUGGAAAGAUCCUAAACUAGUCAUAUAUUUCUUAUGGAUUAAAUCAAUAUUGAUGGAAAUCAAUAGCAACAUGUAUUCUCAAUAAAGGCAUCAUGAUAUCUCAUGGACUUUGAUACAGUGUGUUCUAGUGGGUGAUCCUAAGGACAUGUGAUCAUAAAAUUUGUGGGUCCAUAAUAAUUCAUUUAGUGGAAUUUGAUAUAUGUUCUUAGUGAGUUAGAGUAUGUCAUUUGUUCAUAUAGUAGAAAGAUCUAUAACUUAAAGUGAGUUAGAGUAUGUCAUUUGUUCAUAUAGUAGAAAGAUCUAUAACUUAAAGAUGAUAAAGGUAAUCUUGAGAGCCUAAUUGUUUUCAUCUUUUUAGAUUAUGGACACUAAUUCAUAGGGAAAUUGUAUAUAGUGGAUAGUAGGUCAUAGAUCCAAGUACUUAGUGUUUUGUUGUAAUAUAUAUAAAGUACUAGAGUGCAGUUGACUCUCUAUAAUAGGAUGUUGAGUUAACUUUAGAAUUGGCUUCUAAGUGAGUCAAUGAUGUCUUAUGGGUCCUAGUGGUCCCACUCGAACUCAUAUACCUUGAUGACAUGGUUUAUGAGGGUUGGAUAGGUUUUUAGUUCACUUAGAUGCAUAAGAGCAUUUUGGUAAAUACAUAAUGUUGCAUAGAAGUUAGUGAACAAUAUUUUUAGAUUGGAUUAAUUAACUAAUAGGAACCUAGUUAGACUAAUUAAUUAAUUAAGACCAUUUUUUAGCUAGAUUAAGUGACCUAAGCCCACUAUAGGCUUAUGUCAUAUAAGUCUAGUAAGAAACCUAUAAAUACCCUUUUAGGGAUUAAGGUUUCAAUUUUUUAGACUAUUGUCAUUCUCUUCCUUUAGUUCAAAGGGAGAAUCCUAGCCUCCAACCCGAAGAUUUACACCAUCUUAAUGACUAGACUAAAGGAGGAGUCAUUGGGUAGAAGACUAUUGCAUUUAUAAGAUCUUCUACAUUUUUAGAGUUUUCUACACCAAUAGGAAUCGAUCUUGGAACAUCUAGAUUGCACCUAUGACACUAAUCUCUAAAUCUAUGUUAUUAUUCUUGUUUUUGAUACCAUGUUUCCAUUGUGCUUAGGUCUAGAGAGCCUGGGAUAGAAUUUCAUGCACCCUAAUGAUCCAAGAUCUAGGAACGGAGUAAUUUGGGGUUCCCUAUACUCCCCCAUUCAAUAUUUUUGAAUAAUAGAUUUAUUUUAAUUUUGGUAAUUUUCUUAAAAUAAAUUCUCUAUCAUGAGAAAUUCCAAUUUCUCAUUUUUUUUCCCCCUAAAUUGGAAUACAUGUGUUCAUAAGGAAUAUUCAUUCUUAUGAAGAUUCUCAAAUAAGAAAAUCUUUCUUUACUAAAGAAAAAAAAUCUAGAUCCUUAAACAUCUCAAAUUUUAGAAAAUUCCAAAAAAAAAAUCCUUUAAAGAUUAUUAUUGAAAAAGAAAGUAGAUUUUCCUAUAUUUCAAAAAAUCAUAUAAAAAUUCCUUAACUUUGCACAUUUUAAUUUUGAAUAAAACUUUUUGUUGAAAUUACUUCUCAUGACAAAUUACUUUCCAUCAUAAAUUGCAAAAUUAUUCUACAUGCAGUACACUAGCUUCGUGAAUCAUGACUACUUAGUAGCUAAUGUCAUGAUUCACUAUAGGUCUUGCUCAAUGUGUAACCAUAUACAUUAAUGUAUUCACCAUGGGAAAGUCAUCUCGAUAACCAAGAUAGGUCAUCUCUUUAAUUAGUAGGUAGUACAUUAGAGUCUUUAAUGGAUUACCCAAAUUCAUAAAUUGAAUGUUAACCACUUAUCACCUUAUGAGGAACCUAUGACUUAGAUCUUUUGUGUAACUCUUAAUGCACCCAAGUUAUGUACAAUACAAGUGAUAAGGGUGUAGAUGCUUAAAUAAAUAAUUAAUACAAAUAGGAUAAUAAAAGAGAACAAAAAUUAUAAAUCAAUGAAUUUAUUAGUGAAUCUAAAUAUGUUACAUUAUCUCAUGCUUUCUAGGGCUCUAUCACAACACUUACACUACUUCAAACCAAAGUUUACAACCAAUCUAUCAAAAUAAAAUAUGAAUUUUUUACAUAAAAUAAAAAAAUAAAAAUCCUAUAUCCCUUAUAGGGUUUAAUACUCUCUUGAGAACAAAAACAAUCAAUCUAUUCAUUCAUGCAUUCAAUAUAUGAAUAAUUAAUAACCAUUCAUUCAUCCUAUCAUCCAUUUGGGCUAUGGGAUGAAUAAACAAUCCAUGUAAAACAAUGGUUAGCACAUCUUAGAAAAGUUCUAUCAUGUUUUUACCUAAUCUAAGGAUUUGAUACCAAUUGUAGGGAAUCCCAAAUUACUUUAUUCUCUGGCCCUGGAUUUGAUUAGGUGCAUCAAUUGUCCUAAGGUUACUAGAUCUUAGCAUACAAAAGUAAACAUAAUAAUAAAAAAAAAUUUAGGAUCUAAAUCUACAAGUUUAGACGUGCUUACCAAGAUUUAGAUGUUCCUAUAUCUAUUUUUGUUGGUGUACAAAGCUCUAAAGUUGUAUAAGAUCUUCUAAAGAUAAUAAUCUUCUACUCAAUGAGUCUUCCUUGAUGCUUGACACUAAAAUGGUAGAGAUUUCUAAGAUGAUGGAAACUGAGGUUCUCUCCCUUUAGGCAAAAAAGAAGAUAAAGUGUUUGAAAAGUGAAACCUUAACCCAUAAGAUGAGUAUUUAUAGAAUUUCCAUGGGCUUAAGUGACUUGAUCCCACCUUGGGCUUAGGUCACUUAAUCUAACCUAAAAAGGGUCCUAAUUGAUUAAUUAGCCUAAAUGGGUUUCAUGAAAUCAAUUAACCCAGUUGAGAGAGACCAUUCAUUAACCUCUAUUUAAUCUUGCAUAUUUACCAGAAGACACUUAUGCGCUUAAGUGAAUUAAGAACCAAUCCAACCCUUAUAAAUGGUCGACUGAUCUUCUCUAUUAUCCAAAAUACUCAGCCUUUUUACAUAGCAACUCUGGUCAAGAAAAAACCAAAGCAAAAGUCACUAUGGCUUUUGUAGUACUCCGGGUAUCAUCCUCAAGGACUGACUUAUAAAAUUUGUUAAUACUAGGAUAAAUGAAUCACUUUUAUUUAAAUCCUAAAGUGAAAAAUAAUAUAUGAAUGAAGUAAAACUAAGUUAAAUAACUAAAUUAAUAACAAAACGAAUAUUGAUUUUUAAUUCAAUUAAUUCAAUUAUGAGGCUUUCCACAAUCUAACUUAAGGUAUAAAAGUACAGAAAACAGAGGUUUCUUAAGUAAAGUGAUCUUAAAGUUUUAGGAUCCUUGGCCGCUCACGAUCAACUUAAGUUCUACAACUCAAAAUUGCAUUUGAAACCUAAUUUUUCAUUUUUGAAACAAAUUCCAAAAACCAUCAAAUGAAUGAGAUUGAUUACUGGUUUAAGGUUUAGCAUUUUAACUCCUCUUACUACUUAUAGUUUUGUUUUGGGGAAAAUAACGAUAAGGAAUAUUAGGAUUACUAAUGAUCAAGAGUUACCCAGAAUGACUAGUAUCGGGUAAUAACCUACGUAUCAUUCCCUAAAUUAACUCACAAAGAUAGGAUAAAAAAAAUUGAUAAAUUGUCACCCAACUAAUAAUUAAUCUUAUUAUUAUAAUAAUUUACCCAUUGUUCCUAUAAGUUUCUAGCCUUUAGGUUUUCAUGCUUCAAGCUUCAAGUUGGUUUUCUAGCCUCUCAUGGGGGUGAUGUCACAUUCACAAUCCAUAAUAGGGUAAAAUCCAUAAUUUAAAUCAAAAGAAACUAAAAACAAUAUAUACAAUAAAGAAGAAAAGAAAACAAACCAAAGUUCUCGUCUUCUUUCUUACAAAACUGUUAAACUCCUGGAAGAUGAUCCAAGAUCCCCAAACCCUAAAACUAAGAGAGUUUAUAUAAUAUCAUCAAUUACCUAACAUGUGACAUACUCUCAUUAGCCACUUAUUAACAAAAAAAAAAAAAACCCUAAAAUGGACUAAAAACUAAUAAAAUGGUGAUUUCUAGUCGUAUAGGAGGGUGAAUGGAGUGCUCUAAAUGCAAUUCCUGAGGUGGAGGAGGCGAAACAUCAAAGUGGUAGUGAGAAUUUGAAAUUGGGAUCAUUUAAAAUUCAUAAGUUGGAUUUUGAAUUCAUAAGUUGAAUUUCAAAAUCAUUUCAAAAUGGUCCUUCAACUUUGCGUAAUUGUCUUCAAAUGACCAUAACUUCUUCAUUUCAUCUCUGAUUUGCACACUGUUUGAAGCGUUGGACUUCUAACUUUCUGAGCCUCAAAAAAUAUGUAGUAGGCCUAAAAUGGACUUUAAGAAGUGCUUCAAAUUUUGCCUCAAAAUCAGAGUACAUGUUGCCACUAGAUUUUGAGUUCCAAAUUUUCAUGCAGCUUGAUGAAUUUAUUUCAUGCCUCAUAAUCCAUGUUUUCUUGCCAUCUUUCUUACUCCAUAAUGGUCAUUUAUGAUCUCCUAAACUUAUGAUAUCCUCAUUUUGUCUUUCCUCAUAGUUCAUGAGUCUUGACUCGCUUAUUUCCUCAUUUAACCCUUUCUUGAUCUUUCAAAAUCUAAAGUGAUUCAACUUACACCAUUUUCUUCCCUUGAACCUCAGAUAAAUCUUCAAAAUACAAGUUAAACUCAUGGCUAGGGCCUUAGCAUCGAUUUAGGUCAAGUUGGGUGAUUUGAGUGUCCUUUAGGGCACAAAUCAUAUUGAAUAUAUGUCAUUAGAGUACAUAUUUUUGUUCCAAUCAAUGAUGUCAUCAAGGAAUAUAAGCUUGAGAAGGGACCAUUGGGACCCAUAGGAUAAUAUUGGCUCCCUCAUAAUCCAAUUCUCAAUUUGAAUUAACAUCCCACUAUAGAGAGUCAAUUGUACUCCAAUACCCUAUGAAAUUAAAAUGAGACAUAAGUGCUCAUGUCUAUGACUGACUAUCCACUAUAUGUAGUCUUCUCAUUAACUAAUUUAUGUAAUCUAAAAAGGUGAAUGUUUUUAAGCUCAUUCUUGGGUAACAGAUUCUCUUAUUGUGUGAUUAACUAACAUGUCCUAAUUCAUAAAAAGCUUAUUUCAAGUUCCACUUAAGGAACUACUAUAGCUAUAUUUUUCCUAAAAAUGCUUCCUUAGGAUCACUUAAAGAGACACUUUGUCUCAAACUUUAUGAGAUAUUACGAUGUCUCUAUUGAGAAAACUUGUUGCCACCAACCUUCAUUAAUAGUUUCCCAAUAAUAUAUGAUCAUUUUAGGAUCUUACCCAUAGGUCAAAGCCAUUGGGAACUUUGGCACAACUCGGUAUCCUUUUAAGGUUGAGAGGCCAUAAAGUAUAGUAGUUUUGUAAAGUCAUGACUACCUAAUAGCUUUAUAUCAUGACUCAUCCUAGGUUCUGUUUAAUGUGUUACACAUUAAUGCACUUACCAUGGGAAACUCAUCCUAAUGACCAAAACCAACCAUCCCUUUAAUUUGUAAAUAGUAUACUACAACCUCAAAUGGCUUACUUAAAUCCUCUACUUAUAAGGAAGCCAUGAUUUGGAUCUUUUGUGCAACUCUUAAUGCACUCAAGUCAUAUACAAUGCAAAAGAUGCUAGACCGGAAUGUUUAUAAGAUAUAAUGCAUGGAAUAGGAUAAAAACAAAUAGAAAACUAGAAUCUUAUUAAAUAUAUAAUUGUGAAACCAAUGCUUGGUUAAUCUUGAUUUUGAUAAUAACAAAACAAAGUUUAGAACUAAUAAUCAUAUUUCAAGUGUGAUUAGGCAAAACGAUUUCCAAAGUGGCAAUCACAAAGACAAAUCAAGCCAAGGAGAAAUCAUGAAGAAGAAGACCACCUUAAAGAGAAGAGUUUUUUAAGACCAAAGCUUCAUAAGAUCUCUUUGUAAGGUUGUUGGUGCACUAGGACUUUCAUGCAUUUUAUUCUUUAUUUAUGCACCAAAAUCAUCCAAGAGUAAUAUUAUUUUAAAUAUCUUAAGAAUUGGAUGAUUUCAUGCUUUCAACUAAAACCUUAUGUUAAAUGAUUUUCAAACUUGUGUUAAAAGGUUUUAAGUUGAAAAAGGUUGGGUGUUGAGCCAAAAAAUGGCUCAACCGGUUGACCGGUUGUGCUCGUCUGAUCGAGGACCGGUUGAGAGAGGCCAAAAAGUUUCUCUCUCUCCUAGUGGCCUUCUCUUCUCGGUCAAGGUUGAACCUCAAUCGGUUGAGGUCCGAUCGAGGUCCGAUUGAGGUCCAGUUGAGGCCCAACGGUCACUUGCCAAGCAUUAAAUGCUAACUGCUAGUCAACCGGUCGACCCUUAGCUCGACCGGUCGAACCCCCAACGGCUAGUUUGACUUUUUUCUUCUAUAAAAAGGCUUCAAUCUUCAUUGUUUCAUAAGCUUAACCUUCCCAAAUCUUUCUUGAUUAUAUUUGAGCUUUGGAAGAGUAUUUUUUAGUGUACCAUUCAAUCCUAGUUUUUCUUAUAUCAUUUGAGUUUAAAGUUCUUGUGCAAGGAUUUUUUAGAGAUCAUUCAUUUGUAAAUCUUUGAGAGGAAGUUUCUCAAGUGUGGGGUAUCACUUGAGGGGUUGUUCAAGAGUGGGAUAUCUCUUGAGAAGUGUAAAGGGUGCUUGGAGCCAAAAGUCCAAGAGGGUGAAUUGGAACCAUAAUCCAAUUGUAUUGCUUGAAGGCUUGGUUUGGAAGCCUUGGAUUAGUGGAACCUCAAGCUCGGGAUUGAAGCUAGAGGAGAGUGGAUGUAGGCCGAGUUGCGUCGAACCACUAUAAACUCUUGUGUUUGCAUUCUCUCUUCCCUACUAUUUAAUUUAUAUGCAAUUGUCUAUAUAUUGAUUAUUAUAUACUUGCAUAUAAUUGUCUCUUGCAUUCACUUGUUUAAAUUUGCGAAAAGAGACCAUCACCCUAUUCACCCCCAUUCUAGGGUGAUUACCAUAGGUUGGAUUAGCCUCAAAUUCCUAACAAUAAUAAAUGAAAAUUUUGUUACACUAUGUCAUGUUUUUUAUAGGCUUUAUCCUAACAUUAACAACAUAAUGAUUUAUAUCAAAAGUGAGUGUGCUAAUUGCAUGAGUCUAAUAAUUAUGAAAAGCUCAGUUGUUUUGCUCCUAUAAUUUGUGAAGCCAUCUCAAAUUUAGAUAAUGCAAUGUCCUUAAAGUUAAUUACAUUGAAAAAUUAAGGGAAGAUUACAUGAAAAGGAAAGUUUACAAUAGAAACUAAAAUUAAACUAAAUUAAGUUUAUCUUACCCCUACUCCUACUCCUACAUCUAAAAACGACAAGAAAAAAAUGAAGGUAAGGUGACAGAAGGUCUGUAAGAGUGAGUUAUUAAACAAUUUUUAUACUGGAUUUUUCUACCUAAGGUGCGUAGUCAAAACUAGCCAUGCCAAGGAGAGAUGUUAACUUCCAACAACGUUCCUCAACUACUCUCACCUACUCCAACAAGCCAUGCUUUUGGCCAUACCCAAAUAUUGAUAUAGAGGAGUAGGAAUGUAGUAAUGGUCACUUUUAUUAGGGACACGAGUGAGGCGCCAAGGUGUAAGGACCAUGGCCCUUGCCAGGUGACAGGUUGGGAAUGGCCAAAAAACUUGUCGACGUAUGUAAACAUGCUUAGGCUUCCUAAGAAAGGUCAUGGUUAUUGCUCAUGGUCACUUAGUUUACUUGAGCAUUGUGCAUGAAGCUACCUGAGCAAGGUUGUGGGAGUGUCUUGUGCAUUACAAAUUUGCUCACGUAGAAAUGCUUAGGAAUGCUUGAAGAAAGUCCCGAGGCUUAGGAAGUUGGAAGCUUGCUUAAGAGUUUCAGCUUAAGAAUGCCUGAACAAGGUUACCUUACCUAGGCUUGCUUAGGCAAUCUUUCUUCCUUUACUUCGAUCUUUAAGCAUUUUUGAGCCUUAAGGUCCCACAUAAGGUCUCCAUUGAAGCUUAAGACACUCAUUUGUAUUGACUUUUGUUGAGUUUGAGUUCUCAUCAAUGAAAUAUAUGUUUGUUUUACCAUAAAUAGAUUUUGAAUAUGGUAUUAUGGAAAUGUUUUUUUUUCUUUUUUGUAAAGAUAAUAAAACUUCUAAAUAUGUUUGAAUAAUUUAUCAUAGGAGUUUUCAUCUUUAAAAAACAAAAAAUAAUAUGAAAGCAAAAACAAUGUUACAACUUGUGAAAGGGUUUUUUUAGCUUAUGGAAAAGGUAGCUUCAUAUCCAAUGAAAGAGUGAUUGGUGAUGGAUCCAAGAAAUAUUUCUACACACCUAAUUUUUUGAGGUAUCUAAAAUUACUAAAAUGACCUCUUCUUCUUCCUCCUACCAUGCUUAUCAUGUUGGGGCACAACCAUGAUGUUGCUUCCAUAGCGUCCUUCAUGGUUGCUCAUUUCCCUAUUUUUGCCCUUUUUUCCUUUUUAACUAAAUUAAAGACAAGAUGAAAAAAAGAGAGUUAGGAUUAAAGGAGUUACGGUUGAAGAAAGGGAAUGAUACAUGCUUAUUUAUUUUUUAAAAAGAAUUUUAAGUGUGUAUGAAUAUUUUUUGGUAGUAGUUUUGAAAAAUAAGUUAAAUGUAAUUUUUCAAAGGUGAUUUUUAAAAAUAAGAGUGUUUUAUAUUAUAUUGCCUACUAUGCCAUCAAAUAAUCUCUUUAUGAUUUCUUUAUAUAUUUUGCUUCUCAUACCCUUUUUCUCCUAAAGCUCUUCUUUUUCAUUCUUGUUUUUUUUUUUUUUUUCUAUUUUAAUAUUUCAUUCAAACUAACGAAAUUGAUUGGUAUGUUGACUUUAUCCUGAUUACUUGUUUUUAAUUUAUAUAUAUUGGUUUAGUUCCAAAUCAAUUCCAUUGUAAUUGAUGUGAAGUUCAAAAUAUCAUAAAUGACUUAGGUGGUGUUUGUUUUUUUACUUAAUUCUAAAUAGAACCUUAAUGCUUAAUAGUAUUAAAUAUUAGGUUGUUUGUUUUUGUAGUAUUUUAUUUCUAUUAAGUAUUAAGAAGUAAAAAAAACCAAUAUCUUAUUUUUUCUAUUUAGAAAAAGCUACAUAUUUUGGCUUUUUCUAUUUAGUAAAAAGUUUAUAAUGAGUCAUGAAAAAGUAGAAAAACAAACAACCUAAAUUCUAAAACUAAAUUGUUUUCAGCAAAAAGCCAAAAAAACAAACACCACCUUAGAUAGUCAAAAGAAAACUUAGAAGGUGUUUGGUAAAUUAACUUAAUAAAUUAAAGUGACUUAAUGACUUAAUAACUUAAUUUAUAUCCAUCUUAAUUUAUUUAUUUUUUGUUAAAAUAACUUAAUAAUACAAAUUAAAGUUAAAAACGACUUUAAGUAUUAAAUCAAAUAGUUAAUUUAUUCUUAAUUAAAUCUAAAAUUAUGUUUACAAAAUAAAUAAAAUAAAAUUUGAGGUUGAUACAAACUAAGUCAUUAAGUCUUUUUAUGUUAUUAAGUUGAUUUACCAGACACCCUCUUAGUUGUUUCUUUUGGAUAUCAAAGAAAAUUAUGUUAAAGGCUUGUCAAAAUGAUAUUUAAAUGAAGUUAAAGGUUUCAAAGAUUGGGAACCCUCUGAAUUAGUACCAUAUUCAUAGGAGGAAUUUAGUUAAACAUUUAGGAAUUAAUUUUUUUUAUGAUUUUAUUUUAAAAAAUUUUGUUGGAAAAUUAAAAUACUAAAAGUGAAAAAAAUGUUAUAAACAUUUUCCUAAUUUUUUCCAUUAUUUUAUUUAAAAAAUCGUAAAAUAGGUUUGAAACUUUAUGUAUCUAUUUUGCCCUCUUUUGGCUCUAUUCCAAUUUAGGUCAUCCUUUGAGAGAUUCUUUUUUACCCACUUGUAAGAAAAAGUUAGGGAAGGAGAGGCCAUUAGGCUGACCUUUCCCAAAGAGUUAGUUACAAUUGCACUAAUGGGAGAUCAUUGAUUAUUUUCAAAACCAUCGAGUGAAUUAAUAAUGCCCAUUAUGUUUGGGCAAUAGCCAUUAUACACUAAUGAAUUUGCCCAUUUUGUUCUUAAUAUGGGAUCAUGGGAAGGUAUAAAAACUAUCUAAAGUAGAAAAGCUUAAGUCAUACUUUCCUAUACUAACAAGGGUUCUUAGUAUAAUGAUUAAGGAUUUGGGUGUGGCCCAUUGUUGAUCAGAAUCCAUAAGAGAAGAUAUUUCAAUUACAUGCGUGAUAAUUUAUGAUAUUAUGUAUUGAUGUAUCGAUAAAUGAUAAAUUUUUAUAUUUUUUUUUUCUCACAAAAUCCGUAAGAAAAUCAAUAGUAAACUUUCUCCAUCACUUAACAAAAAAAAAAAAAAAAAAACACAAUUUGAUAUCAUGCUAGUAAGGAUAAUGUUCAAGCUCUUUUAAAAUGACAGAAGACGUUUAAAUAUAAAUGUAGAUUAAAGCUAUUCUCCAAUCAAUCAUCAUACAAGAGUUACCAAAUGAGGGGUUCGACUUUCACUCGCAAAAUAGAUAUGAAAGGAAUAUUGUAGGUGAGGAUUUUCUAAUGAUGAUUUUUGUAUCAUUAAGAGAGUUCAAUGCAAGGAUAAUUUUAGUUUAAUUAGGAUCGAUUAUUGUUUUGUCAUUUAAGCGGCGAGACACACCCACAAAUUGUUAUUCAUAAUAUUUUAUAAUUAUAUAGGCCAAACUUACUUUCCCCGUUAAUUUCGUUGAAGAUGGAUAUUUCAAAAUCAUGUCAUUUUUCUUUCGUACUAGCCCAUUCCCAAUCUCCAAAAUUUAAAAUUAUGUUUGUUCCAAAAAUAUAAAGGAAAUAAAAAAAUGAUAAGAAAAAUGAUUUUAUUAUAUUUUGUUUUCUUUUUUAAAUUUAUAAAUACAUUAAAUAUGAUUAAAAUUAAUUAAGAACUUAUAGAUUUUUAAAUUAUUUAAUAUUUAUAUUAAUAGUUUAAAAUAAAUAAAAAUGAGUUUAAAGUAAUAAAUAAAAAUAAUUUACGGACUUUAUUUCUAUUUUCUUUAUUUUUUUUCUAUUUUUUCUCCUUAUUUAUUUUUGCAUUUUUCCUCAUAUUUUCCCGCGAAACAAUCAUAACCUAAAUAAAUAUCCAUUAAAGGUAUCGUAGGCGAGAAACAUCGAAACGCAACGUGGGCAGCGCCACGCAACCACAAUCGCGUGAGGAGUACGUCCACGCUACCCAUCCUAGAAUCCGACGGCGCUGAAACCCGGGAGACGCACUCCUGCGCCACACUGUGACAGCCACAUUGGGAGAAAACAUACAACACAGUAGUAGAAAAAGACACGCCUCCGUGUUUGGGCAUCGUGGAGACAGCACUGUAAUUACAAAGCCAAGCGAAGAAACAACCAACACGGCCUUUCAUUUCUAUUGAACAAGAAAGGAGAAAGAAGAAAUAAGGCUAAAAGAGAGACGAGAUUAGGAACCUACGCACAAAGUUAGAUCUCGGAUCCAAAUCUAUCAUACACCAAAUCAUUUUCUCCCAAUCUUUCCGAUUUUCCUGGAAUUAGCAGUUUCGGAUUUUCCUAAGGUCAAUCUCAGUAUUUCGCGAAUGAUAAUUUUUUCUUGUUUUCAGGGUUUCAGCAUUGCCGUGAAUUUCUUUUCUAUGCAGAUGUUUUAGGAGAUUCUUUGAUCUUGCAACUGAUUUUUGCUGUUACUGAAUCAGUCCUUGGGAGUGAGGUUUCUUUCUCUCUUUCUUUUUCNN
rnacentral:lncRNA from 1 species